GUAAGGGAGUUCUUCUCCCUAUUCAUUAUAGCAGUAAAUAUGCAGAUUACAUAUACCUAUAAUUAACUCGUACAAAACUUUCUUCUCUCCAUAAACAAAGCAUAUCUAAGACUCCUAAAAUUGACAGGAAUUAUGCACUUAGUAGAGCCAAUUUGCACAAACAAACACCAAACCUCCCCAUGUCUUUUAAAUGGGCCACAUGGCAACUGAAAAUCACCUCGUUUCUUCUAUUUAAUCAACUAAACUUUUACCUAAAAAUAAAAUUUCCCCAAAGGAAGGAAAAGAAUUCGUUUAACUUCUAGAGCAGAGCAAAGAACCCAAAUUACCAUGAAGUAUGAACAGGAAAAACAAAAACCAAACCCGUAUCACAUUCAAGAGUCG
rnacentral:misc_RNA from 1 species